AUUGAACGCUGGCGGAAUGCUUUACACAUGCAAGUCGAACGGUAGAGGGGGCAACCCCUCGAGAGUGGCGAGCGGGUGAGUAAUAUAUCGGAACGUGCCCAGUCGUGGGGGAUAACGUAGCGAAAGUUACGCUAAUACCGCAUACGAUCUAAGGAUGAAAGCGGGGGAUCGCAAGACCUCGCGCGAUUGGAGCGACCGAUAUCAGAUUAGGUAGUUGGUGGGGUAAAGGCUCACCAAGCCAACGAUCUGUAGCUGGUCUGAGAGGACGACCAGACACACUGGAACUGAGACACGUUGCAGACUCCUACGGGAGGCAGCAGUGGGGAAAUUUGGACAAUGGACGCAAGUCUGAUCCAGCCAUUCCGCGUGCAGGAUGAAGGCCCUCGGGUUGUAAACUGCUGUUGUACGGAACGAAAAGGUCUCUCUUAAUACGGGGGACUCAUGACGGUACCGUAAGAAUAAGCACCGGCUAACUACGUGCCAGCAGCCGCCGUAAGAC
rnacentral:rRNA from 1 species